rnacentral:rRNA from 1 species
AUUGAACGCUGGCGGCAUGCCUUACACAUGCAAGUCGAACGGUAACGCGGGGCAACCUGGCGACGAGUGGCGAACGGGUGAGUAAUAUAUCGGAACGUGCCCAGUAGUGGGGGAUAGCCCGGCGAAAGCCGGAUUAAUACCGCAUACGACCUCAGGGUGAAAGCGGGGGACUCGCAAGGGCCUCGCGCUAUUGGAGCGGCCGAUAUCAGAUUAGCUAGUUGGUGGGGUAAAGGCCUACCAAGGCGACGAUCUGUAGCUGGUCUGAGAGGACGACCAGCCACACUGGGACUGAGACACGGCCCAGACUCCUACGGGAGGCAGCAGUGGGGAAUUUUGGACAAUGGGCGCAAGCCUGAUCCAGCCAUGCCGCGUGUGGGAAGAAGGCCUUCGGGUUGUAAACCACUUUUGUCAGGGAAGAAACGGUCUGGUCUAAUAAACCGGACUAAUGACGGUACCUGAAGAAUAAGCACCGGCUAACUACGUGCCAGCAGCCGCAGUAACAC